UCUGACACAGGUGCUGCAUGGCUGUCGUCAGCUCGUGUCGUAAGAUGUUGGGUUAAGUCCGUACGAGCGCAACCCUGUCCUUAGUUACCAGCACGUUAUGGUGGGCACUCUAAGGAGACUGCCGGUGACAAACCGGAGGAAGGUGGGGAUGACGUCAAGUCAUCAUGGCCCUUACGGCCUGGGCUACACACGUGCUACAAUGGUCGGUACAAAGGGUUGCCAAGCCGCGAGGUGGAGCUAAUCCCAUAAAACCGAUCGUAGUCCGGAUCGCAGUCUGCAACUCGACUGCGUGAAGUCGGAAUCGCUAGUAAUCGUGAAUCAGAAUGUCACGGUGAAUACGUUCCCGGGCCUU
rnacentral:rRNA from 1 species